GAUGAACGCUAGCUACAGGCUUAACACAUGCAAGUCGAGGGACCGGCGCACGGGUGAGUAACACGUAUCCAACCUGCCCUUUACUCGGGGAUAGCCUUUCGACAGAAAGUUUAAUACCCGAUAUAAAGGAUGGGGAUGCGUUCCAUUAGGUUGUUGGUGAGGUAACGGCCCACCAAGCCUUCGAUGGAUAGGGGUUCUGAGCGGAAGGUCCCCCACACUGAAACUAAGACACGGUCCAAACUCCUAGCGGACGCAGCAGUGAGGAAUAUUGGUCAAUGGGCGCUAGCCUGAACCAGCCAAGUAGCGUGAAGGAUGAAGGAUUAUGGGUCGUAGACUACUUUUAUAUAAGAAUAUGUAUUAUAUGAAUAAGGAUCGGCUAACUCCGUGCCAGCAGCCGCGGUAAUUC
rnacentral:rRNA from 1 species